ensembl:lncRNA
AGGGGCUCAGAAACAUGGAGUGGAUCCGAGGAGGGAGAGGGGAAUCUUUUCACUCCUGGUGUUGGAUGUCAUGCUCUGCUCUGCGUCGUGAUAGGAAGAGAGUGAGAUUACUCCAUACCCUGUAAGGCACACAAACAACAAGGUACUGUGGAGCCCCCCCCCCUCUCUUUCUCUCUCAGUGUAUGCUCACUCACAGGUAAGAGACCAAAUCACAGUCACUGUAAAACAGUGAAUAAGAAUAAGGACACUAUUUACUUCAUUAAGAUCUCGAACCUUACCCUCAGUUUAGCCAUAUUCUUAUUUUACAUCUGGAGACAUUAGUCUCUGUGUUUUAAUUAUAUUAGUCUCUGUGCUUUAAUUAUACUUUCCUCCAUUUUGGUCCACAUUGCGCAUUGUCUCGCCAUGAGUCAGUAGAAAUGUCAGGCGUGUUGGCUGCUGCUCUGCCAGACAGACAGCCUAGAGCUGGGUAAUUAGCCAGAGUCGUUUGGGGCAUGUGGCUCUGCAGAUCUAGAUGCCCACUGUGCACAGGGAGACACCAGACAACCUUUUAGUCUGCCCCGUCCCACUGCAGUCACUUAAAACACUGAUGUAUGUCCCCCCUCUCUGCCUCUAUCUCCCUCUCUCUCUUUUUUCUUGUUUCUAUUUUUUUGAAUGUACCUCUCUUUCCCUCUCACUCUUUAUUUCACUCUCUCUUGUGUUCUCUGUCUCCCUCUCUCUCUCUCUCUCUCUCUCUCUUUCUCCCUCUCUGUCUCUGUUUCCCCAGGACGAAAAGAAGUAGGUAGCCAAGGUGUAAGGGACGGGGUGGCUGAAGGGCUGCGUUCCUCAGACGGAGCAGAGCAGAACGCUCUCUCCUCCUCUCCCCUUGUCAUUGGUAUGCAGUGGCUGUUCCCCAGGCGACAGGGCCACUGGGUUCGGGCUGAGCUUACUGCAAGAGGAAAUUCAGUGACACAGAGGAGAGGAGGACAGCAGGUAAGGGUAAUGAGAACAGGCAGAGAAAGGAGAGGGGGAAAGAGAGAAGGAGGGAAGAAGAGGACAAGCGAAAGGAGGACAAGAUGUCCCAAGGGGCUUUGGGGGUGAGGCACCCCCUGACCCUUCGCACUCCGUACACUGUCCAGACACUAACACACACGCACACGCACACACACACACACACACACACACACACGCACACACACACACACACACACACACACACACACACACACACAAACCUAAACUCUUUUAAAAAAGGAGAACCCUUUUUGGUUCCAGGUAGAACCCUUUUUAGUUCAAUGUAGAACCCUCUGUGGAAAGGGUUCUACAUGAAACCCAAACGGGUUCUACCUGGAACCAAAAAUAGUUCAUCAAAGGUUUCUCCAAUAGGGGACAGCCAAUGAACCCAUUUAGGUUCUAGAUAGCACCUUUUUGUUUCUAAGUAUACAGUGCAUUCGGAAAGUAUACAGACCUCUUCACUUUUUCCACAUUUUGUUAUGUUACAGCCUUAUUCUAUAAUGGAUUACAUUUUUUUUUUAAAUUCUCCUUAUCAAUCUAUACACAAUACCCCAUAAUGACAAAGCAAAAACAGGUUUUUAGACAUUUUUGCAGACAAUGAGUAAAAAAUAUCGCUUUUACAGAAAUAUUCAGACCCUUUACUCAGUACUUUGUUGAAGCACCUUUGGCAGCAAUUACAGCAUUGAGUCUUCCUGGGUAUGACGCUACAAGCUUGGCACACAUGUAUUUGGGGUGUUUCACCCAUUCUUCUCUGCAGAUCCUCUCAAGCUCUGUCAGGUUGGAUGGGGAGCAUCGUUGCACAGCUAUUAUCAGGUCUCUCCAGAAAUGUUUGAUCACUUUCAAGUCUGGACUCUUGUUGGGCCACUCAAGGACAUUCAGAGACUUGUUCCGAAGCCACUCCUGCAUUGUCUUGGCUGUGUGCUUAGGGUCUUUGUCCUGUUGGAAGGUGAACCUUCACCCCAGUCUGAGGUCCUGAGAGCUCUGAAGCAGGUUUUCAUCAAGGAUCUCUCUGUACUUUGCUCUGUUCAUCUUUCCCCCGAUCCUGAUUAGUCUCCCAGUCCCUGCCACUGAAAAAACAUUGCCACAGAAUGAUGCUGCCACCACCAUGCUUCACCGUAGGAUUGGUGCCAGGUUUCCUCCAGAAGUGACUCUUUGCAUUCAGGCCAAAGAGUUCAAUCUUGGUUUCAUCAGACCAAAGAAUGUUGUUUCUCAUGGUCUGAUAGUCUUUAGGUGCCUUUUGGCAAACUCCAAGUGGACUGUUAUGUGCCUUUUACUGAGGAGUGGCAUCCAUCUAGCUACUCUAACGGCCUGAUUGGUGGAGUGCUGCAGAGAUGGUUUUCCUUCUGGAAGGUUCUCCCAUCUCCACAGAGGAACUCUCACAGAGGAACUCUCACGGAAAUACUUUCCGAAUGUGCUGUAUAUGUAUUAAAGGUCCAAUGCAGUUGUUUUAUUCUCAAUAUCAAAAAUUAUUUGUAGGUAACAGUUAAGUACCUUUACUGUGAUUAUUUUUUUAAGUAAAAUGGUCAAGAAAAAAACAUUUGCUUCUUCGCAAAGAGCACUGGGCCUUUAAUGGCAAAACACCCGACUAGACACUUUAUGUCAAGCGCACAUCAUGUAUCCAAAAAGCAAGAACAAAUGUAUUCUCUCUCACAAACACACAAGGGGAGUUUGGGCAAUGUUUGGUACUUUUGGCUUUUUUCUUUGUAAGAGCCUUUAUGACUAUAUAGUGAUAAUGUAAUGCUUCUUGAGAUACAUAUGUUAUAUCUUGUUAUAUCCAAUAUAUUGUAUUUUAUUAUGUUGUCACGUAAACAUGUUUUUUUUUCUUCAAAUACAUGUUUUACGUUUUUGAGAAUAGUGUUAUAAAGAAAGCAAAUGAUUGAAUGCAAACAGUGUAAAAUGUCGUUACAAAUUAUGUGAAAAUAAAUAG